AACGGGUUGUAGCUGGCCUUCCACAAGGCAUGUGCACGCCUGGCUCAUCCACUCUUAACCUCUGUGCACUUUAUGUAAGAAACGGUGUAAGCUGGCUUUUUUUAAAGAGUCAGUAAUAAGCCUUUCUUAUGUUUACUACAAACACUUCAGUUAUAGAAUGUUUAUUGUGUAUAACACAUUUAUAUACAACUUUCAGCAACGGAUCUCUUGGCUCUCGCAUCGAUGAAGAACGCAGCGAAAUGCGAUAAGUAAUGUGAAUUGCAGAAUUCAGUGAAUCAUCGAAUCUUUGAACGCACCUUGCACUCCUUGGUAUUCCGAGGAGUAUGCCUGUUUGAGUCUCAUGGAAUUCUCAACCCCUAAAUUUUUGUAAUGAAAGUUUAGUGGGCUUGGACUUGGAGGUUGUGUCGGUUCUAGCCAGUCGACUCCUCUGAAAUGCAUUAGCGUGAACUUUACGGAUCGCCUUCAGUGUGAUAAUUAUCUGCGCUGUGGUGUUGAAGUAUUUAUUAAUUCAUGCUUAUAGUCGUCUUCUUAUGAAGACAAUUAUUGACAAUCUGAGCUCAAAUCAGGUAGGACUACCCGCUGAACUUAAGCAUAUCAAUAAGCGGAGGAAAAGAAACUAACAAGGAUUCCCCUAGUAACUGCGAGUGAAGCGGGAAAAGCUCAAAUUUAAAAUCUGGCGGCUUUGGUCGUCCGAGUUGUAUUCUAGAGAAGUGUUUUCCGCGUUGGACCGUGUAUAAGUCUCUUGGAACAGAGCGUCAUAGAGGGUGAGAAUCCCGUCUUUGACACGGACUACCAAUGCUUUGUGAUGCGCUCUCAAAGAGU
rnacentral:rRNA from 1 species